GAUGAACGCUGGCGGCGUGCCUAAUACAUGCAAGUCGAGCGAACAGACGAGAAGCUUGCUUCUCUGAUGUUAGCGGCGGACGGGUGAGUAACACGUGGAUAACCUACCUAUAAGACUGGGAUAACUUCGGGAAACCGGAGCUAAUACCGGAUAAUAUUUUGAACCGCAUGGUUCAAAAGUGAAAGACGGUCUUGCUGUCACUUAUAGAUGGAUCCGCGCUGCAUUAGCUAGUUGGUAAGGUAACGGCUUACCAAGGCAACGAUGCAUAGCCGACCUGAGGGGGUGACCGGCCACAACGGACCGGAGACAGGGCCCAGACCCCAACGGGGGGAAGCAGUGGGGAAUUUUCGCAAAUGGGCGAAACCCUGCCGGAGGACCGCCCGGGGGUUGAUAAAGGCCUUCGGACCGUAAACCCCUGUUUUUAGGGAAGAACAUAUGUGUAAGUAACAGUGCACAUCUUGACGGUACCUAACAGAAAAGCCACGGUUAACUCCUG
rnacentral:rRNA from 1 species